rnacentral:lncRNA from 1 species
AAUUAAAAGCGAAAGUGCUAUGGACGUGAACGUGGAAAAAACCUGUGAAUUGGGAUGUUUCUAUGGAGAAGAACUUGUACAUUGGGUUACAACUUGGGUAUCACACCAGACCUUUCCUACCAAACUACCUUUGUCACCUGAUUCUGCUCUAUGCUCCUACCAUGGUGGUUCUGUGACAAUACUUGCUCUCAAAGCCGACGACUUGAAGAGUGUAUUCUCUGAUUUCACCCUCCCUACAGAUUCCGAUCAGCCUCGGGACUGGUUGACCAUCCUAAAGAAUGUAAGUUCCUCUGGAUGAAGAGAACCAGACCUCUCUCUCUCUCUCUCUCUCUCUCUCUCUCUCUCUCUAUAUAUAUAUAUAUAUAUAUUAAUCAUAAUAUUCUAAUUUGUAGGUGGAAAGGCUUGAGACUAUGGAUGAGGAAGUUUUGACAGAAAUAUGUGGGUAUCUUGAGCUCAGAACUUAUGAAGAUGCGUACAUUAUUCAAAAGGAUAAACCAAUCGAAAUGAUGUUCUUCAUCAUGAGAGGAGUUGUGUCAGUGACAGACGGGAGCUCGAAACAUUACCGCAAUGAAGGAGGACGUCCAAAUCACAGUGGAGAUGACCUCAUAGAACAUUGGCUACAAUCUAAAUCUACCAGCGUUCCUGCCAAAUUGCCCACCUCUCCUUUUAGUUUUUGGGCCAUUGGUGAAGUUGAAGUUCUGGUUCUUAAGGCCGAGGACAUGGCAAAGGUUCAGCCUGGUGAUCAUAUUCGUUAGUAUUAUGUGCAACUAAUGAAUUGUCUUUGUAUUAUAUUCCUGCUUAUGUACAUACGUAGUUUCCUUGUCUGAAGCUUGUUUGUUUGUAAGUUGUUUGGAUUUCCAG